GACCUUAGUUUUCCCUAUCUCUUCCCUCCACGUCUCUUCCCACCGCCGAGUCGCCGUUCAGUGGAUUUGCUCCACUGCCGAGUCGUCCGCCACCUCCCACCACCACCAUGUUUUCUGCUCCUAUCAUCGAGAUUCCGUGGAUCGAUUGAGCUCCAAAUUAAAGAACAUUGAAGUGAUCACCGCUCUCAGAGAUUCGGGCCACCGGAAUCCGGGUCUUGAAGUUUCUGAAACCCAUUUGGAGAAAGUUGAGAACUUUGGCCUUGUCUUGCUCAUUUGCUAUCUUGGGUACCAGAAAAGGCCACCAAGCUUCAGUUACAGAAAGCCACCCAUUACACUUCCAAAGAUCUUUGCUUUCAACUCUUUCCUCAAUCGGAAGCCAGUUUGCUUGGAUCAAGAAGCUUCGACCAGCCAAGAAGGAAGACAUUGAGACUUGGAUUUAUAUAUGCUCCAUUUAUUUAUCAUUGAAGGUAGACAGAACUCUCCCAGAAACCUUGAUAUUUAGGUUUUGAUGGCAGUUACUAGCAUCGAUCAGGCUCUGAGAUAGAGAGGUUGGACUGAAAACGAGUUGCUGGGGUGGGAAAGAGAAGAGGAGGGGUUCAAGAUUGUGGUGGACUUAGAGACGAUACACCAGGGCCUUGCCUAUUCCUAAUAAUCAGGGGAUGAAGAAGAGGAUGAAGAGCAGCAAUAUCAUUGUUCAGAUAGCCAAAAGUUUGAGGAGCAAAUUUUGUCUUCUUGGUGCCUCUUUUGGGAUACGGGCUAUGAUCUGGCUUUAAAUCAUAGUCCAUUCUCAACCCGAUAGGCGACCAUUCUCUAUAAGGUACCAGCUCUGGAGCACAAUGUAAAGAUACAAGAAUGUACUAGCAGCGGCUUUUUAUCUGCGAAACUGGUAUGUGCUAGCAGCAGCCUUUCAUCUAACAAGUCUGAAAGAUUGGAGAAAGUUCCACUGAGUAAAGUUUUGAUUUGGGGUGGUAGGGGUAAGAGGAAAAUGAAAAAUGUAAUGAGAAGCAAAGCAAGAAGCAGCUCCUUAUUUGAGAAAUAGUUGAGAAUUCUUACUGUUGUAUAAAUAGUUGAGUAAUUCUGACUGUUGUGCCUUGAACCAUAUAAAAAAGAUGGACAAUAUAAAAUAAUCAUGAUAAUUAAAACAAAAAUGUAUUCAGAUGAGUUGUUGAUAGGUAGAAUUGGGUUUUUUGUGUAGUUGAUGUUUUAAGAUUUGGGCUUCUGGAGGAUACGCCAUCAAACAGGUAUGAGGAAGGGUGUAAUGUAUUUAGUACCUGCAUCUCUUGCCUUCCUUAAAUUCUGAUAUACUCUUUUAUUUAUUUAUUUAGAAAUACUGGAAAUUGUAAUGCCGAUGAUGAUGGGAGUCCUAAUGAAAGUGAUCGGAAAACGCUACGGCCUCCAAGUUGUUCCAAAACAUUCAAUGUUGAAACUAGCCAUGCUGCAAAAAUUCCCAUGAAUUGAGCAUAUCCUUUUUUCAUAUUUCUGAUUAAAUAUAUGUAUUUUCAGCACCUUUCUUAUUUGUACUCCUAUAUGUUUAGAGUGAGAAGCCACUACUAAUCUAGAAUCUUUGACACCUGCUCACAUCUGUUUGAUGGCUUAUCCUCUAGAGCAAGUGAGGCUAACUUAGUCUUCUUUGGGGACUUUGAAGAAAAGAACAGAAUUUUAGCAGGGUAGAGGGAACCCAAUCAUAUUAGCUACCAUUUGACUGGAUCCAGUGGAUUACUAUUUGAUAGAGCGCGCAUGAAUUCCUCUGCUGAGUUCAUAUUUCCUUGCCUGAGUUGAGAGCCGGGGUUUUACUUUUGGUGUGAUUGGAGGAAUGGA
rnacentral:lncRNA from 1 species